rnacentral:rRNA from 1 species
GACGAACGCUGGCGGCGUGCCUAAUACAUGCAAGUAGAACGCAGUUGCGAACGGGUGAGUAACGCGUAGGUAACUGCCCCAUAGCGGGGGAUAACUAUUGGAAACGAUAGCUAAUACCGCAUACUGUGAGAUGGACCUGCGUUGUAUUAGGUAGUUGGUGAGGUAAAGGCUCACCAAGGCGACGAUACAUAGCCGACCUGAGAGGGGGAUCGACCACCCUGGGACUGAGACACGGCCCCAAAUCCCUCGGGAGGCAGCAGUAGGGGAUUAUCGCAAAUGGAGGGAAGUCUUACCGAGCAACGCCGCGUGAUUGAAGAAGGUUUUCGGAGUGGAAAGCUCUUUUGUUAGAGAAGCGUUACCUACCCAGAAAGGGCCGGCUAACUCCGUGCCAGCAGCCGCGGUAAUAC